GUUUGCUAUGCAAUGCAAGCCUAAUUGAUGCAGUCACUACCUGCCCUGAGGAAGGACUUGCAGGAAGGUACCACCACUAUUCAUUGAAGAAAAAGGAAUGUAGCUCAGUGGAACUGCGCCUGCCUGGCAAGUACAAGGUCUGGAGUUUGAUUCCUGGUUUAAAAAAAAAAAAAAAAAAAAAAAAAAGACAGAAA
rnacentral:lncRNA from 1 species